GACUUGACAUGUUCUAAAUAAUGAUUAUGUUGUUUAUGUCUCCCAAUUGUUUGAAUUUUAUGAUUUUAAUUCAUUUUAUAUGAAAUUUGUUUGUUUUAGUUUAGAUGCCGAUAGAAUCUUGCCUAAGUUGUUUUGAAUUGAAUUUGAAAUUUAUGCUAAAUUGGAUGUUUUGCUAAUGCUCAUAACCUGUUUGAUAAAAUGGUUGUAAGAGAUACAACUAAAGAUAAAUCUGGCAAAUAUUAGAUAAUGGGAUGCCACUUUCCUGAAUCCAAGACGUUAGUAAUGCGGGAGUCAACAAUGAGUUUGACAAAGGGGCUAGCUCAAAAAGCUCACGAGACUUUCGGCGAUUUUGAAGAAGUAAUUGCAAAAGAUGCUACUGAAACGUUUGCGGAUUCCGUUCAGGAUUGAAGAGAAAUUGUUUGAAAAUCAAUGUCAUUCUAAAACGUGGGAACCCUCCAAGGUUAUUCCUCAAGCUGAUAGAGUCCUCAUCCGUCUUGAAGGCCUACCCGAUGUAUGCUUAUAUUUUGUUACAUCAGCUCUUGAAGGAUUUUGGCAAACAUUUGCUUGAUUAUGAAAUUUUUAAAUUGUAAAAUUUGAAUUGUUAUUGAUGAACUUUCUGCCACAAAUAUCUUCGGGCGGUGUUUUGUUGCCCAAAUCAGCUGUGAAAUUUGAGCGAUAUCUAAUAGGAGAGGUACUAACUAUUGGUUCUGAGGUUGGGAAAGUUGAGGCUGGAAAGAAGAUUACCUGUCAUCCAAGAAUUAGCUGCAGAAGUUAGGCAGACCACCGAAUCUCUUUUGUCUCACCUUCUCCAGAAACUUCGAUCCAACAUUCAGUUGCCUGAAUGCCUCCGCAUUAUUUGCGUAGGAUAGGAAUAUUUAGUGAGUACGAAAUGCCUUUACAGGUAAUUUUGCAAAUGCUUUUUGUGCACAGCUUUUUAAUUGUGUUUUGGAUUCCAAAUAUGUAGGUUAUCUGAUAUGAACUUCAAUUUUAGCUCUGCUUAAAGAUAUGAGU